UUCAUGGAAUGUAAUGCGUUGCCUAGUGAUGUAUGCAAGUUACCCACGAAAUGAGCAAAAUGGAGGAUCUUCACUGCAGUUUACAGCUUAUAAUUCAUGUCUAGUAUGAACUACUGCUACAAUUUUAGGACAGACUAAGAGAUCAAGGUCUUAGCUAUUCAUUGAUACCUGGUUCGAGAGGACUGCACUUAUGGUCUGUAUGAAAUCCUGUCCUAAAGUGUACCUGUCAAGUUGUCCUAACUGUCAGUUUUGUUUUGUACCUUUUUUCUUUGAGGCUUUUAGUUUAAUCUUCCAUAUAAGUUUAUGAUCAUUUAAGUAGCUACAAAACUGAGGUUAAUAGACCCUUUUUAAAGAGAAAUAUCUCAUCACUAAAUCCAUAGCUAAAUGUUGUCUGAAAAAAUACUUUUGUUUUGUACCCUUAACUCGAUGGCCUCAUAUAGUUCAGCCUUCAAAUUUUUUAUACAGAUAUAUGAUUCUAUUGCGGAGGUAGUGAUUUUCUUAAAUGCAAGGAAUACUAUUUGUAAAAACCAUUGAGAAAAUAGUCAAUAGCAAAGAAGCUAUCAUAUUUCUUUUCUGGUGUUCAGGAAACAGCAGAGAAGUGCCUUCACCAAGACUGCAGAACCUUAUUUCAAUUUUUCUAUGCCAUUUUAUUCUAAUAAUCCGUACAAUUUAA